rnacentral:lncRNA from 10 species
UCAGUCUUCAGGGCACGAGUUGGGGUCUUCUUGAUGGGUUGUGGCACCCACUGUUUGGACAUCAUGCAUGCUUCUUCUUAUUAUUGUGUAUUUAUUUAUUUGUUUAUUUGUUUCUUGAUCCAGGGUCUUGCUCUGUCGCCCAGGCUGGAGUGCAGUGGCACCAUCUCGACUUACUGCAACCUCUGCCUCCCGUAGCCCAAGUGAUCCUCCCACCUCAGCGUCUCGAGUAGCUGGGACUACAGGCUCGCACCACCAUGCCUGGCUAAUUUUUUGUAGAGAUGAGGUUUUGCCGUGCUGCCCAGGCUGGUCUCGAACUCCUGGGCUCAAGAGAUCUGCCUGCCUCAGCCUCCCAAAGUGCUGGGAUUAUAGGCGUGAGCCACUGCGUCCGGCCUGUGUAUCUAUUAAGCACCUCCUGUAUACCCAGCACCUGCAAAGCCUUGGGACACACAACAGCAACCCUUCAGGGAAGAUCCCAAGCCAGGUGCCUGUCUUUUGCCUCCUUGGAUCAGUGACGAAGAGGUCAGCGUCACUCCAUUUCUGGGUGUGAUGGUCCUGGGCACUGCUGACUGGCUGUCCCCAUGCCUUCUGCUCCCGCUUCUGGAAGGGAAGACAGGGCAGGGACCAUGUCCAGCUGCAGAAAAUCCCAGUGUUUUUCUGUGGCAUUGCCUGGUAAAGGCUGAACGUGGCUUUCGUGAGAGCUAAUCUGCCUGCCCAACCAGAUUGUGCUGUGGCUAAAAUUGCUGUGAGCUCGACAGUGCCUGAAGACUGGAGAAAACUGAGCCAUGUCUUGGAUGCUCUUGCGGGGCCUAGGGGAGUGCCAGGCCAGAAGGAGAACUGCCUGUGGACUCUCAGUAGGAAAGCAGCUAACGAGGUGAUGAGUGAGUGUCGCCUGGAAGUCUGGGGGCCAUUCCAUGUGGGUCACAUCGCCUGACCAGAGGGUUGGGUGCCUGGACAGGGCUGAGCUUGGGACUCCUUCCAGGGCCUGGCCUCAGCUGCUGGGCCUGCCGAGCAUGCCCCACAAGCACCCACGCACACAUACAAGUAUGGAGGCAGAGUGGAAGUUUGACUUUUGCAGAUCUCGUACAGCCUGGAGUAGAGAAGAGAAUUGGGAACUCUCAAUGUUGUGUGACCCUAGGCAAGUCCCUUCCCUGCCUUGUGCCUCAGUUUCCCUUUACAUACCAUGAGGAUGUUCCCAGUGUUGGUGUUUUAAUGCCUGCAGACAAGCUAAGCUCAUCAUCUGGUUCCCGGAAGAGAUCCUCCUUUUGUGGAAAGGCCACAGCCACUCUGCCACCCUGAGGCUCCCACUCCUCCUUCUCUGGAACCCUCUCCCUUGCCUGUAGGUCACGGGAAUGUCAAGAGCACCCAGGGAAGUGCCUGCUGCCAGUCAUCACUCACUGAUUAUGUGACAGCAGAGGAGCCAAGAAGCUGCUGGGAAUCGAGACACCCCCCCAUUCAGUCCCCACCAUCUCUGUCUUCAUGAGGUUCCCUGGGAGAAGCUCCUAUGUCUGGGAAUGGAAAUGUCUCCACCUGGAUAGGGACAAACAGGAGCUGGGGGCUGCAUCUUAAGACUUCUUGUCCCAUUAGUGCUGACCUCUGGAGACGGCUCCUGAAUUGUGCCCACUCCCCCACCUCCUCACCACACACAUGCUCUGGGCCGUGCGAGGCUCAGCUUGUCACGGACAAGCUAAAAUGAGGUGGCCUGAAUGCCCCUUAUCAUAGACAGCUUAUCUCCUGUGGUCACUCACCUGACAGACUCCAGAGAGCCACUCAGCGGGCCUCUCCCAGCCGCCUGCUUCUCAGCUCUGACUCUCCCUUGCCUUAAGGGGACACUGGAUUCCAGUGACCCUCCUAUUGGUCAGAGUUGGGCUGAGCACAGAGAAGGGGUAGAAUGCUCCUGGGAACUCGGAAAGCUCUGGGAUGCCAGCUUUUCCCACAUGUUCUCACUCACCCCUCUGUAAUACAGAUUCUGCAGCCCUGCCCCCCACACACACACUCCUACACCUCUGCUCUCAAAGUGAAGAAGUAGGCUAAUAUCUGUGGUACAUUUAUUUACCUACUCCCUGAGACUGCAGCUCCCUUAGUCAGUGUUGUGUCCUCCACUCAGGCUGGGGCUCCCUGAGGAUGGGGCUGUGUCUCCCCUCAGACUGGGGUUCCCCAAGGACAGGGCUGUGUCUCUCCUUAGGCUGGGGUCCCUGAGGGUGGGGCUGUGUCUCCCUGCAGAUUGGGGCUCCCUGAGGAUGGGGCUGUGUCUCCCUGAAGACUGGGGCUCCCUGAGGACAGGGCUGUGUCUCCCCUCAGGCUGGGGCUCCUUGAGGAUGGGACACUUUAAAGAAGAGAAAUUGACAGGUUGACCCUGGGGGAUCUUUGGGUCAAUAAAACAUUCUAUAGACCCUCAGUGGUCAGACUAGGAUGAUACCUUGA